rnacentral:rRNA from 1 species
AACGAACGCUGGCGGCAUGCCUAACACAUGCAAGUCGAACGAGACCUUCGGGUCUAGUGGCGCACGGGUGCGUAACGCGGGGGAACCUGCCCUUAGGUUCGGAAUAACUCCCCGAAAGGGGUGCUAAUACCGGAUAAUGUCUUCGGACCAAAGAUUUAUCGCCUUUGGAUGGGCCCGCGUUGGAUUAGCUAGUUGGUAGGGUAAAAGCCUACCAAGGCGACGAUCCAUAGCUGGUCUGAGAGGAUGAUCAGCCACACUGGGACUGAGACACGGCCCAGACUCCGACGGGAGGCAGCAGUGGGGAAUAUUGGACAAUGGGCGAAAGCCUGAUCCAGCAAUGCCGCGUGAGUGAUGAAGGCCUUAGGGUUGUAAAGCUCUUUUACCCGGGAUGAUAAUGACAGUACCGGGAGAAUAAGCUCCGGCUAACUCCGU